rnacentral:lncRNA from 1 species
UAAGCAUGUCCCUUAGGGUGCAUUUGGUUCGCAUUAUAAAAAAUUAUUAGGAAUAAAAGAUAUCCGAGAAUCUUAUUCCAAUUCAUUCUAUUACUAAGAAUGUGGAAUUCCUGUGUUUGGUUCGCGCGGUAAUAUUAAUUAGCCAUAUUAUUUAAUAUUACAAAAAAUAUACAAUUAAUUAAUUAAUUUAUUUAAUUAAUUUUAUAUAAUGUUACCAAAAGUUUUAACAUCUUUUUAGAAAAAAGGAAGAGAGAAUAUAAGUUAGAGAGAGAGAGCAUAAUUAAAAAAAUAGAAAGAAAAAUAUAGUCGAAAUUAGAGGGAGUGAGAGAGUUGAAAUUUUAGAAAGAGAGAGAAAGAGAAAGCUUAGUUUAGAGAGAGAGAAAAAGUUGAAUUUUAGAGAGAAAAAUAAGUUUAGAGAGAGAUAUAAGGUUAGAGUAUAAAGAAAAAUAAUAUCAAUUAGCCGGCGGGUAAGAAGAAAGAAAGAGAUUAGACAUAUUAUAAUUACCCCCCCAAUCCAUUAAUAUGAGGAUACCCACCCUCCCUCAAGGGAAUGAGAUUAGUACUUUGGGGUGAAUCUUAUUCCCAAGUAAAUCCAAUAUUAUCAACUAGAUUACUUAGUGCGUUUAGCCAAACACCGUCAUAUUUUUUUAUUCUCAUUGGAUUACUAGGAAUCUUUAAAAGAUAGCGCGAACCAAAGCAUUUGCCUUUUGAACUCAUUAUCCUUAAUUAUUUAGCCCU